GUGUAUAUAUUUUUGUGGGUUACUGUUUUUAUUCAUUUUCAUUCCUUUGAUUUUGUUUAUAUUCAUUCAUUUUCUACUUAUUCUUAUUCCUAUUUUAAUGGUCACCAGUUAGAGCGUUUAUAAAUUAUAUAAUUAUACAUUAGAUAUCAACGAAUUUAAUCAGUCUAAUUAAAAUUAUGUAAUUAAACUGAUGAUUCGUCCUAAAAUCAUGGAGAACAUGACAAAUAAGCAAAUUUAUUUCUCAAAUAAUAGUAUAGAUAGAUGUUUGAUUUCUGUUUUUCUCUUCCUAAAAAUGUAAUGUUUGUAAGAAAUUGUAUAUUUUAACAAAAAAAAUCAAGUUAAUAACUUAAACUUGUAUUUAAAAUGUAACAUAGUCGUGAAAGAAUCAAUCAAUUUUCACAAAUAAAUAGAAAUUUUUUAAAUAUAUAUUAUGGCAUUAUGAAUUUAGCUGAAAAUUUUAUUUUAUGAGAGCAUGAAUGAUAUAUACAAUGAUCUUGUCGAAGAUAUAUACAAUGAUAUAUAUACAAUGAUAUAUACAAUGAUAUAUAUACAAUGAGCUGGAUCAGUAUUUGAAAGAGAAUGUGGAGAAUCCAAAGUUAAUGGCAGGUAGUAUGAUGUUCUUUUUUGGUGGAGAUUGAAUAGUGCAAAAUAUCCGGUUCUUUCUCUUGUACCUAGAGAUAUACUUGCUAUACAAGCAGGGGCGAAGCAAGACUUUAUUUUGACUGGGUACAAAACAAAUAACAUAUAUUAAAAGUUUGAUAAAAAUAGUGAAAAAGUAGAGCAGAAGGGAGAUUGACCUCAGGUUGAUAAAAAAACUAUGGGUGCAUCACGCCCAACUUAGCUACGUUAAACUUAUAUGUCCUACGUAAAACACUAAACAUGUAAAAUAUAUUGGGUGCACGUGCACCCAUUGUCUCUAACCUAGCUUCGCCCCUGUAUGCAAGUGUCUUCAAUUGCAUCUGAAUCAGCCUUCAGUACAAGUGGUCGAGUUUUAGAUGCAAGUAGAAGUUGUUUGACCCAUUACAUGAUUGAAGUGCUUAUGUGCACUGAGCAAUGUGAGAUUAAAAUCAAUGGUAAAGGUGUCAUAAAAAAGAACAGCUUCUUAAGGAGAGAGAGGAGGAAUAUGAUAUUAUGAGAGGUAUUCUUAACUCUUUAAGCUUAUGUCUUGUGUUUUUACUUUAAUUUUUUUAGUUCACUGCUAUGCUAAGUUUCACUCAUGUCAUAUGUAUUUUAGAAUUGGAACCUGCAUUUAGAAGUCUCUGAUCCGAACAUAUGAGGUUCUGCAGCAGAAGGUUUAAAGGUUAGUGUCACUGCUAAAAUUCUCGUCUCUUUUGACUUGUUGAGUGUCUUAUAAGUUGCGCAAAAAAAAAGAGUUAUGAAUUAUGAUCGACUUGUUCAGUGUCUUACUGACUUGGUGUAACUGUGUUAUUAGGCAUGGAAGUGUGGAACAAAGGAACUUGUUGAAGCGUCGACUAAGACUUGAUGGAGUUGUAAUUUUUCGUUCUCUUAUUUUGUUUUAUUUUGGGAUUGGAGUUGCAUCAGGAUUUAUGGUAUUUAGUACUUCUGAAUUUGAAUUGCUUGCAAAAAUAUAUGAGUUUGUUAUGGUUAAACGUAUUAUGUUGGUUUUUGGUUUUUAAUACUUUUGAGCAUCUAAUACUAUAAAAAAGAGAUUCACUAUAUUCUUAAGAGGCCACGUCAUCAAAUACUCUCUUCUGACGACGUGACACGUGUUCAUUAAAGCAAAACGCUGCACUUCAUUUAACUCAUUCAGCAUUAUAUGUGGGUUGUCGUAUGAUUGGGCUUCGUAUUGUCCUCCGCGUUCUAAGCCCACCUGCGUCAAACCCUAAUAAGCUUAAACGGUGUCAUUUUGCAAUUUAGUUUUUCUUCUCUGCCGUUAUCUCCGACGCGACCUUCUACUCUUCUAGCCAUUGCAGUUCUUCGUGUCUUCAUCUCACCGGCGACAAAUAUCUUCAGGCAUUACGGAAUCAGUCAGCAUUACGGAAUCAGUCAGGAUCCAAACGUCGUCUUUAAUGGAAGCAUUAAACUAGCUGUUAACUCCUCCCACGAUUUAUUAUUGAACACAUCCCCUUUUACUCCCUUGCUCUGAAUCUUCUACUAUAAAAGUAUGCUGAGUGCAUCAAGGACUGUGAUAAGGCUUUUGAAAGGGAUAGAAAGCAUAGGCCUGGAACGGAACAGCUCUGCGGAAGAUGGAAAAAGUCUCGACAGGUAACCGCCAAGAACGGCUGGUUUUGUUGGCUCUGCUGCUGCUCCGACACACCCUCUCCUCUGACGUGCCUGUGUUCUCUUCAGAGCUGCGACCAAAGCGUUGGAGAACGAGGGUUGAUUCUGAAACAGAGGGUUUGCAUUGGUGGGAAGCCUGUUGAGGGAAGUGUUGAAACAGAGCUUGAAAGCUCGGCAAUGGAGAGAAGGGUUUGCUAUUUGGCGACCAAGGGAAGUGAGAGGAUGAUAUUUGAGACAUGUCCUUCAAAAAACAUUUGAUCUUGUGGAAGUUAAAAGCGUCGAAGCGACGUGAAGAGGAGUGACCUGAGAAUGGCCUCUUCUUCUUGCUAAGGUUAGAUAUUUCUUCUAAACUGAAGCAGCUUCUGGUGUUAGCGUCUGGUGCACGGUAUAAAUCCAUGUACGCAUCACUUUAAACCGUUAAAGUUUAACGGUUAAACCCAUCUGCAAGGUUUAUCUCUGUACCCAGUACAAAAAAGGUUGAGACUUUGAAGUUUCUUUAAGCUUAAAGGAAGAAAUAGUAGUGGAGGAAGCAAACUUAAGUGUUAUGAAGCUAUGGUUUAGUAUGAGAGAGGUAUCGAAUAGAUGAGGGGGAGCAAGUUAUGGCUAUAUUGUUGGUUGGUUUCUGAUGUUUUUUCUUCAAAUUUUUAGUAAUUAAAGAUCUUAAAGAGCUCAUAUAAACAUGCGGAAUGUGAAUACUUUUGUAAUACUAUACACUUGGUCAAUCGUUCAAAUUGUUUUAUUUGGAAGAUGUUGUAAAGAACUUCACUUGAAGGAGAUGUUAGUUCUUCUGAACUUCACUUGAAAAUUUUAUAAGGAAACCAAAUAGGAGAAUACAAUAACAUUGUUGUCUUUUCACAUUUUAUCAGGUCAACCAUAAUUAAUAAAAAAAAGAUUUAACCCUUUUCCCAUUUUAAUUAUUGAAGCUAAGUUAAGAAAAACUAAUAAGAUACUGAGAAAAAGACAACAAUAAUUUACACAUUAUCAAAACAAAUGAAAAAAAUAAAAUAUAAAACAGUAUAAGAACAAAAAUGAAAAAUAAUUUCAUUAUAUAAACAAGAGAUUAAAUGUAUUUAAAGUUGUUACUUCAUGAAUUCUAAAUACUAAAAUUAUGUAACUAAUUUUUAAAGUUAUGUAAUUUUUUAACUUACUGAAAAGUGGAAUAACAAAGAAAAUUAAUUAAAAGAAGAUCUAGUAUGGUUAAAGUUAUAUAUAGAUAAAUGUUUAAACAAAUACAAAGAAAAUAUGGUUGAACUUUUUUUGAAAAAUGUGGUUUAACUUCAAGUUUUUGUUGUACAUUUGUAAAGAAAAACAAAAUUUAUUCCAAUUAAGAGAAAUAUUAGCUGUAAACAUAUCUUUUUGUUUUACAUCAAAUAAAUGCUCUAAGCUAUUGUUUCUAGUUUUAUUAGAUAUGCACGGUUCUCGGUUUAGGUACAAAUCGUUACUCGUUUUACCAGUCCUUCAUCUACAUAUUCUUAUCUUCCCAGUCAUAGUGACAAUCUCUAUUAAAUAUACGAUCAAUUUCUCUCCUGACCUCUUCUUGCGUUGUCAUAGGAUCCUCCAGUAUCUCGUCUUACUCUCUGCAAUGGGCUACGGCUCACGCGGUUAGUUCUAUCCCCUCCUGUAGGAAGCAUAAGUACUAUGUCAUCAUAUCUUUAAAAAAAAGAACACAUAACAUUUGUAAAUGACACUGACUUACGGGUUCUAGGCCUGUCCCUCAAAGGUGACAGGCGGAAAUACAGUUGCCUAUUUUCCUCUUGCUCGGAAGAUUUUGCUAGCAUCAUAGUAACAACCCAUCAUGGCGGCAUGACCGUCAUCAUUGAUUUUGGGAGGCCAAGAUUUUACUGAAUGUUGUCUAGAUUCAGAUGCUCACUGUCCUAAUCAUAUCAUUCGGAGCAGAUCUCAUGUUGCUUCCCUUUCAGCAAUUACCCUCUGGAUAGAAACGUUGACACUCGGGAUCUUGUCGCCAAAAUAUGAAUCUGACUUCCCAACGUAUUUAUUUCCAUUCCACUAUGUUGAAUAUCUACUUCCUUGAAAUCCCAUAUCAAGACACAUUUUCUACCCGAACCACUCAUUCUCACUCACUUGUAGUUAGGCCGGAACUAUAAUUGAAUAUCUAAAAAUAUAUUCUGCAGAGAUAUUUGUAGGAAAAAAAAAGAUUAAAUACGCUACAAUUCAAGUAAGAAAAAUCUUAUUAUCGAAAGAUAAUUACGCACGACUAAACUUAGCUAGAAUGAAACUAAAGCAUAAGAGUUGGAAUUGGAAGAAGUACUACAUUACAGAGACCAAUAUUGAAUCAGGAGGGUUUACCAUUUCUUUUGGAGAGUUCGGGAACAAAGUUACAAAUCGGAAUGAUGAUAACUUCGAGAUGAUAGGAAACAAAGAUGGAGAAGGUGACAAUGAGGUCAUCGUAGAAGACCAAGUUCCUAAUAAAUUGGAGCAUCCUCAAGUUUGGCAAACCAAUUAUCAGGACAUAGAGUAGAAGAAUGAAACUUACGUGAAUUCAUAAGCCUUGUUCGUAUUCAGGGAACCAAGCUCCACUUUAGGGAAAGUAGCUGUCUCUUAAACCUGCGGGACUGGAAGGAUUGUCCAAUGGGUACAACAACUUUCUUUGCAUAUCCUCCUAAGAGCACAUAUCUGAGACAAAUAGAGCAGUGUCAGAAAGUUUAAGAAUUUAAUCUAAGCCUACGUAGAGGAUUUGAAGGCAAUCCAACAUAAACAGGACAAAGCUUAAUCAACAGUUAAACAGAUGAAAACAAAUUGCAAGCAAAAACUUCUCCAAUACUAACUCAAUAAGAACAUGAAAUGAGCACCGAGCAGCAUAUUCACACCAAUCCUUUAAUCAAUCCCACAUAUAUCAAAGGAACUGAACACAGACUGAGUAUUAUAAUUUCUAACCACAAUCUUGUAAAUUCAGUAAUCUAUACCUGGUUUCCGACUUUCCGGCGAGUGACAGACAUGACGAUGGAUUCAAUGGUUCCAAAGCACUGGAGACCAAUGGCAAGGGAUAAAGCCAGGUGGUGGAGAGUAGCAGCGCCUCUCAGAGAAGUUCCUUGAACUAUAAUAAGAACCUCAUAUUCAUAAACUUUUGGGUCUUCCACUUCUCGGAGUUUCAGAGCCUCUGACGUUCCUGGACCGAGAGCAUGAUCGCCUUCAUUCUCUGUCAAUGAAAACUAAAGCAAGGGUUUUGAAAUCACUUUAGAAAGUUGCAUGAAUAUUAAAAUAGCUAAAGAAAAUUAGAUUCACGGUUUUGUUUGCUAGCUAAAAGCAGAAGGAUAUAUAAGGUAUAAAAAUGAAGGAAUAGAGAGAGUUUCGCGACGUUUGAUUGUUGCAGUAAAGAAUGAGGUUUUAUGACUGAUUAUUAAUGGGGUUUAUGACAUUAGGAAGGAAAACCGAAGAGAUGAUAACAGUACGGUGGGAUUUUUUGUCCUUACUCUAAGAUAGUUGUUUUGACGUAGCAAAAUAACUCUUUUUCAUUAGUUGAUUUUUUUAAUCUUAUGUGGAUAGAUUGAGAGUUGAUUAUUUAGAACUUUUAGUAUUGUAAGAUAUCUUCCUGUAAAGUCAUCUCACAUUCAUCCCAAAGCACUAAAAACCCAUCAAAUAUUCAUACAAACACGUCUGUUAAUUCUUAACAAAAUGUCAUUCCGUAAAGUCAUCUCAUAUUCUUCUGAAAGCAUUAAAAACCCAUCAAAUAUUAAACAUCAGUUCUCAAAGUUCUGGUAUAUGUUUCCAACCCUACUUAGGCAAAUCCAAACCUCAGAAAACAAACAACAAAACAUACAAAAAUACACAUGUAAUUCAUAUUUCGUGUCUAACACGGACCGACCAUAGUGUUUAAUAUAGAAUUGCAGGUUCAAAAUUCGGGUAACAAGUAAUUUUAUCCAAACUACUACAAGUCUACAAACUGACCCAAAAACAAUAGAACCGAACCGAAAAAUAACCAAAAAACUUGGAACCGAACCGGAACUGCUGGUAUGCGAAAUUUACAGAUUUUUACCAGGUUUUCAAAUUUCAGAUCCGAACUGAUCCGGAUCCAGUAGGAACCAACCCGAACCCGAGGACCCAAAUAUCCAGGUCUAAUGCAAACAUGAAAGUGGUACUAUGAAUAUGAUAUUUUUAACAAUUUCCUUAAUAGUUUUGUACGCAAGAUAUCAACUAAUGUGAAAUAAUUUAUGUGUGUUUUUAAAAUGAAUACCUGAAAAUAACUAAAUCUAACAAAUUUAUUGAUAGUAUGAUUAAAAUAACAAAAGAAAUAUUUAACAUAAUUAUUUAUUUACUUUUCAUAUAUAUGAAUUAUAUAAUGGUUUAAAUUUUAAAAUAGUAUAAAACCAAUAUUAAGUUAAACAAUAAUUAUAAUUUAUGCAUUUUGUAAAUUAUCCAUGAGAGCAGACGAGUCAUCUAGCAUACAUAUAUAUUAUCAUUUUUUUGCAAAUUAAUUAUGUAAUUAAUAUAUUUACUUUAAUAGUAUCUGAUAGAUGAAAAUGGCAAUUGGAAAAUCAUAAGUGUAUAGGAAGAUAAAGACAUGGAAGGCUAUGAAGCAUGUCUAGCCAAGUUCCCAUACGAAACUGAAAUACAACGCAAAAGGAACGAGGUCGUAUUCAAGGAUCCGGACACAAUUCAUAAGAAGAAAAAGAAGCUCCAGCAUUACAUAACAUGACUUGGUUUACUCUGUAAUUCGUGUGCAUAAGCCAUAAACAUUUACGGCUUUGAUAUCUGCAGAUCAUCACCAA